UUCUCUGAGAUAAGUAUUUUCAAAGUGUACAUUUGUUAAGUUUCCAAUGGACUUUUAUUAUUUUCAGAAUUAUUGAUUUUUCUGAGGUCAUGUUUUCGAGUGACAACAGGCUGUCAACGUAUAUGAGAGGAGUAAAAUAGGAUUAUUAUUUGGACAUCAGAGUAACUGGCUACCUUGUGCGUAACUGUAAGAAUGCACUUGAGGCAUAGGAACAUUAGGACGAUCUGCCCUAAAGAAAUAUAUAAGAGUGAGGGUAACACGUGGGAAAGCUUUUUGAGGAAGGACACCAAUGGUCUCUCGAGCUUUGGAAGGGAGUGCAGUAGUCAUCAGGCAUUUCUGGGAGUUGGGAAGCAUGUCGAUGCUGUACCUGGACACUCUGGAUAGGGCAGGAUAAGGAAG